AGUUUCCGGGACUUCGUACUGUAUGACAGACUAUAUAUACAAUACGAAGCCUCUGAAAUUUU
rnacentral:pre_miRNA from 1 species